rfam:Myotis brandtii contig200504, whole genome shotgun sequence.
GCCUGUGUGGUUCAGUGGUUGAGCGUCGGCCUGUGAACCAGGAGGUCAGGGUUCGAUUCCCGGUCAGGGCA